CCUACGGGAGGCAGCAGUGAGGAAUAUUGGUCAAUGGGCGAGAGUCUGAACCAGCGAAGUAGCGUGAAGGAUGACUGCCCUAUGGGUUGUAAGCUUCUUUUAUAUGGGAAUAAAAUGUUCCACGUGUGGGAUUUUGUAUGUACCAUAUGAAUAAGGAUCGGCUAACUCCUUGCAAGCAGCCGCGGUAAUGCGGAGGAUCCGAGCGUUAUCCGGAUUUAUUGGGUUUAAGGGGAGCGUAGGUUGAUUGUUAAGUCAGUUGUGAAAGUUUGCGGCUUAACCGUAAAAUUGCAGUUGAUACUGGCAGGCUUGAGUACAGUAGAGGUGGGCGGAAUUCGUGGUGUAGCGGUGAAAUGCUUAGAUAUAACGAAGAACUCCGAUUGCGAAGGCAGCUCACUGGACUGCAACUGACACUGAGGCUCGAAAGUGUGGGUAUCAAACAGGAUUAGAUACCCCUGUAGUC
rnacentral:rRNA from 1 species